rnacentral:rRNA from 1 species
AUGGCCCCCAAGGCGGAGAAGAAGCCGGCGGCGAAGAAGCCCGCAGAGGAGGAGCCCGCGGCGGAGAAGGCCGAGAAGGCCCCGGCGGCGAAGAAGCCCAAGGCCGAGAAGCGGCUGCCGGCGGGCAAGACCGCCUCCAAGGAAGGCGGCGAGAAGAAGGGCAAGAAGAAGAGCAAGAAGAGCGUCGAGACCUACAAGAUCUACAUCUUCAAGGUGCUCAAGCAGGUGCACCCCGACAUCGGCAUCUCCUCCAAGGCCAUGUCCAUCAUGAACUCCUUCAUCAACGACAUCUUCGAGAAGCUCGCCGGGGAGGCCGCCAAGCUCGCCCGCUACAACAAGAAGCCCACCAUCACCUCCCGGGAGAUCCAGACCUCCGUCCGCCUCGUCCUCCCCGGGGAACUCGCCAAGCACGCCGUCUCUGAGGGCACCAAGGCCGUCACCAAGUUCACCUCCUCUUAG